rnacentral:rRNA from 1 species
UACAGAGGUGGCAAGCGUUGUUCGGAAUUACUGGGCGUAAAGGGCGCGUAGGUGGCCUUCUUAGUCAGACGUGAAAUCCCCGGGCUUAACUCGGGAACUGCGUCUGAUACUGGAAGGCUGGAGUUCGGGAGAGGAAUGUGGAAUUCCAGGUGUAGCGGUGAAAUGCGUAGAUGUCUGGAGGAACACCGGUGGCGAAGGCGGCAUUCUGGACCGAAACUGACGCUGAGGCGCGAAAGCCAGGGGAGCAAACGGG